rnacentral:siRNA from 1 species
UAUUGGGCAUGGACAUUUUUC